AAUCUCCCAGAGUCUGAUAAAGUGAAGAUUGUGAAUCCAUCCAGAAAUGCCUUUUUAAAAACUGCCAGUAAGAACAUAAUCAGAAUUUUCUGGUAGAAAUGUGUAAUUCAGUGUUCUGAGAUAUUACUGGUCUGGGAAGUGUCCCUGGUCAUACAGCAGAAACACCAAAGAAAGAAAUGCUUUCCUUGUCAAAACCACAAAAACUAAAGGAACAUCUCAAUGGGAUCCUAAGGCCAAGAAUCUUCAGAGAUAAAUGAGAGAAUGAACCAGAGACUGUGAAGCAGAGAUGUGAAGAGAGAGCCAUAACCAUGAUGCCAGACUGCACCACGGAGGCUUCCAGAAACCAAGCGACCACUCCCCCUCUCUCUGCAUGUGACCAAACUCCACCUAAUGCGGGCCAUGUGAGGACCGCCUGAGAACGCAGGGCAUCCGCACAAACACAGACAUCACAUUCCUGUGCCCGGAACUCACUCCUGGCCAUGCACACUAUGCAAAACAUACUCUCUUGGCCCAACCUUACUAGGAGUGCCAGGGACCCUCUGUGCCAUCACUCCUCCGCCCCAGAGGUUAGCCAAGGGGGCUGCAUAUACCUCAUGCAUCCAGAGGACAAUUGGGGACCUUUUACAAGUCUCUUGUUCGUAUGGAGAGCCAAGCCAAAGGUGCCCGUCAGUACUCCACAAUGAUGCCACCAGCCCUCUUCGCUAUUUUGCAACUAAGCAAAUGAGUGAUGUGCUCCCCUAAAGUAAAACUAAUGGAGGAGGAGAAAGAAUUGAAGUUUUAAAAUGCAGGAAGGAGGUAACAGUCCUCCAUGGUGGCACCAUUCACAGGAUAACAAGUCCAGAAACGUACAGCAGAAUAGUGGUUCCAGCAUGAGCUCCGGAUUUGAAUCUCUCUUCUGCUGAUCACUUAGUUUAUGAAUUGGGGCCAGUUACUUCUCUGCCUCAGUUUCUUCCUAAUCAUAACCACCUCCUAGGCUGAAAUGAGAAUUGUAUGAGUUAACAUUUAUGAAAUACUUAGUCUAGGAAGCUGACACACAGUGAGUACUUAGAUAGAUGCUGGUGAGCUGCAGGUUUACGGAGAGGCGGGAAGCCGAUGAGGACAAAUGAAUUACAGGGCAUCUGAGACGAUUCUGGCAAGGAGGGAUGCCAUGGCCCUAAAACUGCUGUGGCUUCUGCCCCCUGGGGAGGCAAUGCAAGUGCCUUUCUCCAGUAUCAUCCUUUGCCAUUCGGAGAGGGACAAGGAAGAUUUCUGAUGUGUGGGUUGCCCUAAGUCAUUAUUUGUUCUGCUGACUGCACCGCCAGAGGCUAGA